UUUUUCGAUUUUUUCAUUUCUGGGUGAUCCAAUUUUUCAGGUUUUCAGGUCUUCAAAUUUUUCGAUUGUUCGGGUUUUCGUUUUUUCAUUUUUUUUUUUAUUUUAGCUUCUCGAUUUCUCGUUUUUUUUCAAUCUUUUGAUGUUUCGAUUUCCAGGUUUUUCGAUGUUUCGAAUUUUUGAGUUUGAGGCUUUUCGAUGUUUUACAUAUUUUUCGAGCUUCUAAUUUUUCGAUGUUUCGAUUUUUCAGUUUCUCGAUUUACUGUUUGUUUUUGUUUUUAAGUUUCUCGAUUUUUCAAGUUUUCAAUGGAAAAAUUCCCAAAAUUAAUAUUUAAAUUUUACUGCCUGGAUUUUUCAAUUUUUCAAUAUUUCAAUGUCUCGAUUUUUUAAAUUUUAGAUUUUUCGUUUUGUGGAUUUUUGGAUUUUUUGAUUUGAAACGAAGAGGAGAGCUAUUUGAUAAAGGUCAUCCAAGGGUACAGUGGAGACGGUGGAGUCUCUUUCACGAGUCACCUCAACUGGAGAUUUAACACUCUGGAUAGGCAAGAUACUUAUGGAAGUUGCGUCGAAACUUAUCACGGACCUUGGUGGUACGGUCCUGGGUGUUUUCACGUCAAACUCACCGGGAAGUACCUCAAAGGCGAGAUAAAGUCGUUCGGAGAUGGCAUACAUUACUCAGAAUUCCACGGGUACAGGUAUAGUUUGAAGGAGGUCAAGAUGUUGGUAAAGAUUUAAAUAAAACAGAAUUUUGAAAGAAA